rnacentral:rRNA from 1 species
UCCGGCGGUGCAGGAUGAGCCCGCGGCCUAUCAGCUUGUUGGUGAGGUAAUGGCUCACCAAGGCGACGACGGGUAGCCGGCCUGAGAGGGCGACCGGCCACACUGGGACUGAGACACGGCCCAGACUCCUACGGGAGGCAGCAGUGGGGAAUAUUGCACAAUGGGCGAAAGCCUGAUGCAGCGACGCCGCGUGAGGGAUGACGGCCUUCGGGUUGUAAACCUCUUUCAGCAGGGAAGAAGCGAAAGUGACGGUACCUGCAGAAGAAGCGCCGGCUAACUACGUGCCAGCAGCCGCGGUAAUACGUAGGGCGCAAGCGUUGUCCGGAAUUAUUGGGCGUAAAGAGCUCGUAGGCGGCUUGUCACGUCGGUUGUGAAAGCCCGGGGCUUAACCCCGGGUCUGCAGUCGAUUCGGGCAGGCUAGAGUUCGGUAGGGGAGAUCGG